rnacentral:rRNA from 1 species
UACGGAGGGGGCAAGCGUUAUUCGGAAUUAUUGGGCGUAAAGGGCGUGUAGGCGGCUUUGUAAGUCCUAUGUGAAAGCCCUCGGCUUAACCGGGGAACUGCAUAGGAAACUGCCGAGCUUGAGUUCGGGAGAGGAGAGUGGAAUUCCCAGUGUAGCGGUGAAAUGCGUAGAUAUUGGGAGGAACACCGGUGGCGAAGGCGGCUCUCUGGACCGAUACUGACGCUGAGACGCGAAAGCUAGGGGAGCAAACGGG